AAUAGCUGUUGGCAGGUUGACAGAGAUUCUCGCCUGGUUUUUGGACCAUCCUGAAGAACGGUCUUGGAACGACCCCGCAAGCCAGCAAAGAAUAACGGUGGAAUCAGAUGAAUGGGAUAAAGCUGGGGAUAGUGCAGUCUGUGCCACUACCAAGGAUGAAUGGGAUGAAGUUGGGGACAGCGAUGUCAAUACAGAGGAGGAUGCUUGAUCUGCAACCAGCUCAACAUCCAGAUCUACAAAAUGGCAGACAGAACAAAGACAAUUUAAAUGUACCUAUCAGUAACAAAACAAUCUCAAUCUUAAAUAAAGCAUUUAAAAAGUA